rnacentral:ncRNA from 1 species
AGUUCAUCAAGAGCUGGCUGAGGGAAUGGCCCUAUGAAGCUGCGGCAACCAUCGUAUACUACGAACGGUGCCAAAUCCAACAGGAUUAUAUCCUGGCAGAUGAAGA